AUACGUAGGUGGCAAGCGUUGUCCGGAAUUAUUGGGCGUAAAGCGCAUGUAGGCGGUUUGGUAAGUCGGUCGUGAAAAUGCGGUGCUUAACGCCGUAUGGCGAUUGAAACUGCUGAACUUGAGUGCAGGAGAGGAAAGGGGAACUCCCAGUGUAGCGGUGAAAUGCGUAGAUAUUGGGAAGAACACCGGUGGCGAAGGCGCCUUUCAGGACUGUGUCUGACGCUCAGAUGCGAAAGCCAGGGUAGCGAACGGGAUUAGAUACCCCGGUAGUCCUGGCCGUAAACGAUGGGUACUAGGUGUGGGAGGUAUCGACUCCUUCCGUGCCGGAGUUAACGCAAUAAGUACCCCGCCUGGGGAGUACGGCCGCAAGGCUUAAACUUAAAGGAAUUGGCGGGG
rnacentral:rRNA from 1 species